CCUGCCAUCUCAUCCUGUCACUUCCUUCUCCUCUUGCCCUCAAUCUUUUCCAGCAUCAGGGUCUUUUCCAAUGACUCUUGACUAUAACAUCUGGUCAGUUUUCCAGAUCAUUCCAUGUUUCUUCUAUGCUUGCAAUAAUCUUCUUCACCUUCUUCAAGGUUUUCUAUAUGUUUCUUUUCAAAUAACCUAAAGAAGCUGACCGGGAUACUUUUAUUGAGUUCCAGUCUGUAAAGGAGUGAAAAUUUAGAAGUAGCAACUCAUGGAUCAUCCUUCUUAAAUAUAAAGAAAUCUAUCAGCACCGUCAUUUCUCAUCAACAUUGAGAAGUGUUUUACAUCAGACCAUUAUGCAAUCUUCCCCAACUAGACUGCCUUUCACCUUCAUCUAUACUAAGCCAAGGUCCUCCCAGCCAAAAGAAAUGAAAAGCACCACCUCCUCCAGGAAGACUUUCUUUCUUUGAGAGUGUGUUCCCCUUAUUCUUCACCCAAUGAAGAAUCAUAGUAAUAAAUUAUGAAAUGUCUCCCAAGACAAAUGCCGUAUAUGGAACAGGAGUGGGGGAUUCAGAAGAAACGAAACUCUAUGAUUUGUGAGGAAGAGAUCAGAGAAGACUUCGUGGAAGAGAGGCCAUUUCAGUUGGUUUGUAAGGGUCAGGUAUAAUUUGAGGAAGCAGAGAUUCAGGAGACAGAUUAUCCAACUGUGAACCCAGUGACAAAUGGAGAACAUUUCUGCACCUCUUCCUUGGGACUCCAAUAUGAAUUCCAGGCAUUUGUUGGAUAUUCCACCGGAAAUGGUAAGCUUCUUAGAGCAGGAACAAUGAUUUUACAUUUUAUUUACUUAUCCCCGCAGAGAAGCCAAUAAAAAUAGAAUGAAAACUUUUGUUGAUCACCUGGGCUUAUGUGGAAACCAUUCUUAUAACUGAAAGCUUAAUCAUACACUUAAAAAACA